CUACGGGUCGCACCAGUGGGGAAUAUUGGACAAUGGGGGCAACCCUGAUCCAGCCAUGCCGCGUGAGUGAAGAAGGCCUUAGGGUUGUAAAGCUCUUUCAGAUGGGAAGAUAAUGACGGUACCAUCAAAAGAAGUUCCGGCUAACUCCGUGCCAGCAGCCGCGGUAAUACGGAGGGAACUAGCGUUGUUCGGAAUUACUGGGCGUAAAGCGCGCGUAGGCGGCUUAGCAAGUUGGGGGUGAAAGCCCGGGGCUUAACCUCGGAACUGCCCUCAAAACUGCUAAGCUUGAAUCCUGGAGAGGUGAGUGGAAUUCCUAGUGUAGAGGUGAAAUUCGUAGAUAUUAGGAAGAACACCAGUGGCGAAGGCGGCUCACUGGACAGGUAUUGACGCUGAGGUGCGAAAGCGUGGGGAGCGAACAGGAUUAGAUACCCCAGUAGUC
rnacentral:rRNA from 1 species